GCUUAUGGAGUUUAAUGGAGGGGUGUGGUGUGCAUGUGGGUCAGUCUGGGGAAGGUACUGCUGGAAGGCUGGCUUCCAUAUGAGGCAGAGCUAAGGUUGGGCCUGUGAUGAACACACUUGUGGCAGUGCUCUAGCCAGGGUCUCUUACUGCACCUUGGCAAAGGUCAGCUUCCAUUAGGGUGACACCAUACCCAGUCAUUGUCCAGGCUUUGCCCAGGCUCAGCUAGAAGUAAGAAAACUGGGUUUUAUGAAGCAAUCACCAGAACAGUUUGCUUCUCGACUGAUCCCCAGCUGGAGAAUCUGCAGCCCCAAUGUCAUUUAGUGACAGAGUGAGGUGACGGAAAUAGAGAUUCAGAAAAAAACCUGUCCAUGUUAGCCUUAAUUCCUGGAGCAGCACUGGGAAACACCCCCAGAGCCGUAAAACCGAGUCAGUCUGUCAGGACCAUGAACUAGAAUUGCUGCCAAGUCUUGGAGAUUCUCCCCUACACAGACCAUGCCCGAUCUACCAACAUCUCCAUCCUACCCCUCAUGGUUCAACGAUAAACUGGAGAACCUAGUCCUUUGCCGGGGCAGAGGGAAACAGGGAGCUGCAAGCAGCUUGAAUAUCUGCUGGGGGGGUUGUUCCUCUACAAUAAAGAAAGAUCCUUGACUCAAAA